GUAAACACCCACUGUUGCUGCACCUAAUUUUUUAAAGGAAUUGUGUGUUCAAGUAAAACAUUUUAGAAUUGAUUUUAUAUUAUAUUGGGUAUUGUUAAAACAUCAGUGCUUAAUAAAUGUUUUCAGAAUCUUGUAAUAUUGUUUAUGAAGCAUAUUACAUCUAUGAAUAUGAUUUAUGAAGCUAAUUCUAUGAGGAAUGAAUAUUAAUCUAUGCAAUUGCAUUGCCUUUAUUUUAGUGAGGUAAGUACAGUUAUUUCUGCACAACAGACCCUUGUCAGACAGACAGACCGCUCUGAUCAGAGGAGCACAGAGAAACUAUGCAAAAUAUUUACCUUAUGUUUAGUUUCUACCUUCAUUAAAGAGCCUCAGACUAAUUGUGAUGUUAGAUAAAUGACUUGUAACUUGUUGGUUGUUAAAGGGAGAGUGGAGGCUCAAUUCCACAUCAUGGUUUAAAACCAAACCUGCAUAAUCAGAACCUUGGACUCGGUGUCACAGCUCUCGUCUCUGCGGCAUCACAAUUCUGGGCCCCAUAAUCUCUUGUUUAUGAGGUUGUUCAUGAGGUUAACAUGAAGAUAAUAACCUCUGAACUAUACAUUAGCCCUUAUAUAUUUCUUCUCCCAGGUACAUGUCUGAUUAUUUCUUUUUCUCUUAUUUCUGUUGCAGCCAGAGUCUUUGUAUGUGGACACUCAGUAUUUGCCCUCUCUUCAGUUCCUCUUGUCUGUCCUCCACAAGCAGGGACUCACUGAUAGACCACUCUGCUUCUGGGGCUGACACACUCUCCCACGUCCCCACACCCAGUGUAUUCUGUACAGGAAUGUGAGGACUACAGACACAAAACAUUGAAGGUGAUCAUGAUGCACAACAUCAUGGCUGAGGAGGAUCCAUCAGAUGUGUCGAUUGUGAUUGAGGGAAACCAAGUGAUGGAAGGAUGUGGAAGCCGAACAAAGGCAUGUGUACUGCUGAUGGGAUUGAUAUAUGCCCUCAACCUUGACUAUCCAAAGCAGCUCAAGAACACAUUUGAAGCUUUUCAAAAACUUUUUUUGGAACUUGAUGGUGCAAAACUACUGAAGAAGAUCCACAGCCUCAAAAACAAGCUCAUGCAAUAGACAUACAUUUCCUCUCUUGUUCCAAGAGGAUCUUUUGUCUGGACAGAGAGUUUUAAUGGAGUAUAGUUUUAUAUUUUUGUUCUCUUUCCUCCUCUGCUCCACACACAGACACAGAAAUAUAUGUACAGAUGGAUACAUAAGUAUGUUGCAGCCUGUCUCAGCCCACUCCAUUGUUCUCUGAUUUCUCCACAUUGACAGAAAUGGAAAAGCAAUAGAAACUGGCCAGUCUGGUCAAUACCACUGAGUGAAUCCUGAAGAAUUUUGAACUCAUCCUCUUUCCCUCCUCAUUUGUUUGUUUCUUUUAUUCUCAUCCUAUCUCUGAGAGUGAGAGCAAGCACAGAAACUAAAGAAUGUUGAUUUUCUGAACUGUCUUUAUCCAGAUGUUUGAUAUUGUACACACACAGAAGCUAUCUUGUAGAGUUUGUGUGUGGGUUUUGUGGCUUUUAAAAUAGAAUAAGGGGCCUCUGAAACUGUUGUUUGCAUUGACUAAUUAUAAAGAGAACAUUUGAAGCCGUUAGCUUAGUGAGUUAUAAAACGGGUCUAUUCAUUGAAAUGUUGUGUGAAGCUGUGUACUGCACUUUAUUCAUUUUUUGGAUAAUUUAGUGUAUUAUUGCUGCAUAUAAACAAGGCAUUUCAGUUAUUUGUUGUGUAUAAAUACACCUGCAGAUUUGCUCAGUCACUGUUGUGUGAGGCCGAAGAAACACAAGUAAGAGUUUAGAUACAAGAAAAUCUUUAUAUGAUUGGACAUCCCUUGCACCCCUGCUCUGAUCACCUCACUUCUCCUUUUCUCUGAUCUACUCCUUUCUUAUUGAGCAGUCUAGAUGUCCUAAAACAGGGAUAUGUUUUAUUGUCCAACGUUACUGAAACAACAUUUGAAGUUGUUAGGUUAUAACGCAGGUUCAUUAUUUGAAAUGUUGUGUGACACUGUUGUGCUGCAGUUUAUUUUGUGUUUUUGUUUUUGAUGACUUUAUGGAUUAAAAACAUUGAGAAGGUG